rnacentral:lncRNA from 1 species
UUCUUUCUGUCACGAGCAUGGCUUGCUGCUGCGCUUAAUUCCUCAACUUCGUCCCAUGCUGCAGCACACUCCCCACUCACGGGGUCACCUGCACAAGCCUCCUCUGCAUUUUUUAUGCUCUCUUCUACCUUAUCUGAUAUCUUAUCCGGUGCAGCGUGAACCGGUGGAACUCUCAACCUUAUGGCUCCAAGUUGGGCCGAUUGCUUCCACGAGCAGCGGAGCCACCCAACAUUGAGAAGCUGUACUUUAGGUGUCUUAGCUGCCUUGGCCAUGAUUCUUGGACUUGAGAGGUUCACCCCAGAAAUGGUAGCCAUAUCUUUGUGUAGGGAAGAAGUAAUGUUAGAGUUCAACUGUGAGCUUGAAGGAGGAUAUAAAUCAUGGGGAUAUGGCUUUAGGAACUAUAUAAUAUAUAAAUGGAAUGGGAAUUGUGCCAUUGACACAUACUUCUUAUCAAAUGACAACCAAUGGAUGAUGCCCACGUCAUAGGAGUUAUGAAGAUAUUUCAUCAAAG